UGGGGAAAGGAUUCCCUACUUAAUAAAUGGUGCUGGGAGAGCUGGCUGGUCAUCUGUAGAAAAUUGAAACUGGGCCCCUUCCUUAUACAUUGUACAAAAAUUAUCCCAAGAUAGAUUAAAACCUUAAUUGUAAAACCCAAAACUAUGAAAACCUUAGAAGAAACCUAGAAGAAAAUCUAGGCAAUACCAUUCAGGACAUAGGCAUGGGCAAAGAUUUCAUGACUAAAACAUCAAAGGCAAUUGCAACAAAAGCAAAAUUGACAAAUGGGACCUAACUAAACUAAAGAGCUUCUACACAGCAAAGAAACUAUCAUCAGAGUGAACAGACAACCUACAGAAUGGGAGAAAAUUUUUGCAAUCUAUCCAUCUGAUAAAGGUCUAAUAUCCAGAAUCUACAAGGCACUAAACCAAUUUACAAGAAAAAAAAGCAAACAACCCCAUCAAAAAGUAGGCAAAGGACAUAAACAGACAUUUCUCAAAAGAAUACAUUUAUGUGGCCAACAAACAUAUGAAGAAAAACUCAACAUCACUGAUCAUUAGAGAAAUGCAAAUCAAAACCACAGUGAGAUACCAUCAGACCAAUCAGAAUGGAGAUUAUUAAAAAGUCAAGAAACAACAGAUGCUGGUGAGGCUGUGGAGAAAUAGAAAUGCUUUUACACUGUUAGUGGGAAUGUAAAUUAGUUUAACCAUUAUGGAAGAUAGUGUGGUGAUUCCUCUAAGGCCUAGAACCUGAAAUACCAUUUGACCCAGCAAUCUCAUCAUUGGAUAUAUGCCCAAAGGAAUAGAAACCACUCUAUUAUAAAGAUUCAUGCAUGCUUACAUUUAUUGCAGCACUAUUCACAAUAGCAAAGACAUGGAAUCAACCCAAAUGCCCAUCAGUGAUAGACGGGAUAAAUAAAAUGUGGUACGUCUACAUCAUGGAAUACUAUGCAGCCAUAAAAAGAAAUGAGAUCAUGUCCUUUGCAGGGACAUGGAUGCAGCCAUUAUCCUCAACAAACUAACACAAGAACAGAAAACCAAACACUGAAUGUUCUAACUUGUAAGUGGGAGCUAAACAAUGAGAACACAUGGACACAGGGAGGUGAACAACACACAAGUAGGGUCUGUUAGGGGAGGGGUCAGGGGGAAGGGAGAGCAUCAGGAAGAACAGCUAAUGUAUGCUGGACUUAAUACUUAGGUGAUGGGCUGAUAAGUGCAGCAAACCACCAUUGCACACAUUUACCUAUGCAACAAACCUGCACAUCCUACACAUGUAUCCUGGAACUUAAAAUAAAAUACAGAUUAAUGUGAGUAAAAUGCUUAGCACAGUGCUUGGCAUGUUAGAAAUGCUUGAUAAAUAUUAUUAUUUUUAUAAUUAGUAGGCAAAAUGCUUUAUAAUAACUUCAUUCUAGUUCAGGAGUGCUGUGAAAAUUAUUUAUAAGAAUGAGCUGAUGUUAUUUAACAUACGACCUAUAAAAUAGAGCAGAAGUUCACCUCUGUAAUCUACCUAAAUAUUCACACAGAAGAGCAUUAGCUAAAACAUUUGAACAUGAGUUAGCUGGGAGUUGAGAUGGUGAAUCAUUCUCCCCAGUGAUCUGUAAUGAUCGCUAAGAACCACCUCUAAAGGCUGGAGGCCUAGGGUACUUACAAGACAGGUGGGGAGAUCCUAUACUCAGAAAGAGAGGAUGGAUCCCCACCAGGGUAGAGGGUUUAACACCUGGACCCAAGAGUCACAGCAGUUUACCCAUCAUGACUACAGCCAGAUUCCCUGCCUGUAAACUGAGCAACUGUAGGGCUUUAAAUCAUUCUCUCAACAAGUAUUUAAUGAGCACUUACUAUUUUCCAGUGGGGAUAUGAUAGUUAGCUCAAACCCCUGGGCCCAGUCUUCAUGGAGCUCACAGUCUAUGGGUCCAUCCUUGGAAAACUUCAAGUUAAGCAAGAGCAGUGAGAGUUUCCUAUCCUCCUCCCGUUAAAAUAACUUUUUACCUCCAGGGAAAUGAUCUUUUUACAAAAAUAUGCCCCAACUCUCUGGUUUUGUCUUUAGUUUACUUUUAAAUAAACUUGGAUCAUGGAAUGAAAGAUAAGGAAACUUAAUAGGCUGUUGAAGCGAAAACCCUCAGAAGAGGUUGUUUCAACCAGACUUUCCUUUCUGAUAAAUCACUGGAGCUGCCUAAACUGAAUCCCAUCAAUCCUCUGUUCUCUGCUAGCCCUUUGUCUUAGCCCACUUGGGCUGCUAUAACAGGAAUGGCAUACACUGCGUGGCUUAUAAACAAUAGAAAUUUAUUGCUCACUGUUCUGAGGGCUGGGAAGUCCAAAAUUAAGGCACCUGAAGUUGCUGUGUCUGGUGAGGGCAUGCUUUCUGCUUCAUAGAUCGCACCUUCUAACAAUGUCCUCACAGGGUGGAAGGGGCUAGCUUUUUGGGUUCUCUUAUAAAGGCAAUCAUCUCAUUCACGAGGGUGGAGCCUCAUGACCUAAACCCCUCCCAAAAGCUCUCAUCUUGUAAUACUGUCACAUUGGGGAUCAGGUUUCAACUUAGGAAUUUUGGAGGAACAUAAACAUUCGGAUCAUAACAUCCUUCGUUUCCCACAUUCUUGGCAAUUUCUUCCCUGGCUCAUUGCCAACUGCCCUACUGUCCCUGACUACCUGUGACGGUUAAUUUUAGGUGUCAAUUUGACUGGACUAAAGGAUGCACAGAUAGCUGAUAAAACAUUAAUUCUGGGUGUGUCUGUGAGGGGGUUUCUGGAAGAAAUUAGCGUUUAACUCAGUAGACUGAGUAAAGCAGAUCACCCCCACCAGUGGGAGUGGGCAUCCUGCAAUCCAUUGAGGGCCUAAAUACUAAUAGAAGAAAAAGGCAAAGGAGGGGCGAAUUCACUUUCUCUGUUGGAGCUGGGACAUCCAUCUUCUCCUGCCCUCAGAUAUCAGAACCCCUGGUUCUCAGACCUUUGGACCUGAACUGAAUUAUACCACUGGCUUUUCUAGUUCUCCAGCUUGCAGAGAGCAGAUCAUGAUACUUAGCCUCCAUAAUCACAUAGGAAAAUUCCUAUAAAUAAUAAACGUGUGUGUGUGUGUGUUUGUACGCGUGCGCAUGUGUAUGUGUGUGUAUAUGAUGGUUUCUUUGGAGAAUCCUAUUACUCAAGACUGCCUUUUCUUCAUCAAAUAUGUUGAUGCAGGUAGGAUGAAGUGUCAGCAAAUGAGCAUAUUCUAAUUUACUCUUUCACUUUAAAAAACAAAACCAGAUAAUCAUGGCAAGAAACCCUCCUUGACCCUCUGCAUUUCUGCCUUAUUUCUCUAUUUUCAUCCACAGUCAAAAUUCUCAGGAGUUGUCUGCAUACCCUGUCUUCAGUUUUGCAUGACUCAUUCACCCUUCAACCUCCUCCAACCUGGCUUCUACUCCCUCAGCUCCACCCACGACAUUUGCUGAAGCCAUAAAUUACCUUCAGAAUCAGAGAGCUGGUACCAUUUUAGUAGGUUCGUGGCCUGCCUGAAAACUAUGACCUUGGAGCAUCAUUUACUCAAAAUGCUAAUCCAAAAACAGGACAUCAAAACUAGUCAUCCUUCACCUCAUGGAAAUGAAUACCCCAAGGUUUCCUCUGGUCACUUUCCACACAUCCUCAUUUGGCCCCUGCUCAUGAGCAAGUUGAUUUAGGAGAUGGUGCCUGGCAGUUCCUCCUCUGAUUAUCCAGGGAAGACAGAAAAAGAGGAAAACAGGAGACAAGAAGUAAAGCUUAGAACAGAGAGGUAACCAUUAACCAGUAAGGGCUAAUAGAUGAGUCCAGAGAAAAGAUAACAAAGGAGGCAAGGAGAGCAUGGUAAGCCAUGGUAGGGGUGAGGGAAAGAUAUUGAAGAUUGAACUCCACCAGUGUGGGAUAAUGUUUGUAUGUGGACUGUGUUGUGUCUCAGGUUCAGGUUGUUUAAGCAGCCUAGUGACCCAGAUGGUCCCCUCCUUAGUGUCUGGUUUUGUCAGGUUGUAACUUGGCUUUUUCAGUUCCCUAAUAUCUCACAUUAUCUCCUCUUCCUCCUAGGCCUUAAUCAUGUCUUACUUUUUUACCUCCCAAUUGGUUGAUAUUGAAUUCUUAUUAAAUAAAAAUGUACUCUUUA